rnacentral:rRNA from 1 species
CCGGCUCCGUAUGAACGCUAGCGACAGGCUUAACACAUGCAAGUCGAGGGGCAGCACAGGUAGCAAUACCGGGUGGCGACCGGCGCACGGGUGAGUAACGCGUAUGCAACUUGCCUAUCAGAGGGGGAUAACCCGGCGAAAGUCGGACUAAUACCGCAUGAAGCAGGGAUCCCGCAUGGGAAUAUUUGCUAAAGAUUCAUCGCUGAUAGAUAGGCAUGCGUUCCAUUAGGCAGUUGGCGGGGUAACGGCCCACCAAACCGACGAUGGAUAGGGGUUCUGAGAGGAAGGUCCCCCACAUUGGUACUGAGACACGGACCAAACUCCUACGGGAGGCAGCAGUGAGGAAUAUUGGUCAAUGGCCGAGAGGCUGAACCAGCCAAGUCGCGUGAGGGAUGAAGGUUCUAUGGAUCGUAAACCUCUUUUAUAAGGGAAUAAAGUGCGGGACGUGUCCCGUUUUGUAUGUACCUUAUGAAUAAGGAUCGGCUAACUCCGUGCCAGCAGCCGCGGUAAUACGGAGGAUCCGAGCGUUAUCCGGAUUUAUUGGGUUUAAAGGGUGCGUAGGCGGCCUUUUAAGUCAGCGGUGAAAGUCUGUGGCUCAACCAUAGAAUUGCCGUUGAAACUGGGGGGCUUGAGUAUGUUUGAGGCAGGCGGAAUGCGUGGUGUAGCGGUGAAAUGCAUAGAUAUCACGCAGAACCCCGAUUGCGAAGGCAGCCUGCCAAGCCAUUACUGACGCUGAUGCACGAAAGCGUGGGGAUCAAACAGGAUUAGAUACCCUGGUAGUCCACGCAGUAAACGAUGAUCACUAGCUGUUUGCGAUACACUGUAAGCGGCACAGCGAAAGCGUUAAGUGAUCCACCUGGGGAGUACGCCGGCAACGGUGAAACUCAAAGGAAUUGACGGGGGCCCGCACAAGCGGAGGAACAUGUGGUUUAAUUCGAUGAUACGCGAGGAACCUUACCCGGGUUUGAACGCAUUCGGACCGAGGUGGAAACACCUUUUCUAGCAAUAGCCGUUUGCGAGGUGCUGCAUGGUUGUCGUCAGCUCGUGCCGUGAGGUGUCGGCUUAAGUGCCAUAACGAGCGCAACCCUUGCCACUAGUUACUAACAGGUAAAGCUGAGGACUCUGGUGGGACUGCCAGCGUAAGCUGCGAGGAAGGCGGGGAUGACGUCAAAUCAGCACGGCCCUUACAUCCGGGGCGACACACGUGUUACAAUGGCGUGGACAAAGGGAGGCCACCUGGCGACAGGGAGCGAAUCCCCAAACCACGUCUCAGUUCGGAUCGGAGUCUGCAACCCGACUCCGUGAAGCUGGAUUCGCUAGUAAUCGCGCAUCAGCCAUGGCGCGGUGAAUACGUUCCCGGGCCUUGCACACACCGCC